ACCAUGUGAUUACAUAUCUUUUGUUAACCGCCAACUGCUUUUGUUUGCAUUUUUUAAUUUAAUACAUUGUUUAAGAGUUAUUUUUGCUUUUUGUGUGGAUCAAACCAGUUGAUAUUUAUUUUCAAUCAUCAAAGUUAAUUAUUAUUUCAAUCUGUUCAUUCACAUUUUAGUUUAAUUGGCGAUUCAAAGGUUUGGCCACCAUGUAAAACAAGAGGAUAAAAGGAUUCACCAGGACUGAUUUCAACUUGGCUAACAACUUGUGACUACAUGUGUACAUGGAAAAGAGAGCCCCAUUCAAGCCUCAAUCAAUUUUUCAACACAAUCUAGGUACCAAUCAGUGGUUAUGAUUGAACUAUGAUUGAACAUUGAGUCAUUGGGAAGAUGUAUAACAUGGAAGAAAGAAUGAGUGUUUACACCAAGUCAAGGAAUUGGCUUACUUCAAUUUAACCAAUGGACACAUGUACAAUAUACAAUUUCAGAUAUAUCCGAUGUUGCUUGAUUUUCAUGAUCAAAUGAAAAUUCCUGUUGUACAACGUCAACUCAUUCCACACCUAAAACUAUCUCAGCGUGAAGCUAUUGAAAUCAACGACCGACAACAUGGUGAUGAUGAUAAUUAUCAUCAUCAACAACCACGGUUCGUCUCUAGAUAAUUGCACUAUUAGUUCAUGUUAUUUCAAGAUACAAAAUCUGAUAAAGUUCAAAGGAAGAAAAUUGGUUAAACAAAAUCCUGAACAUGAAGGUUUUCAUGUCUCCUUAUGUCAAUUUUCAAUCAGCCAAUUCAUAAUCACUAUUGAUUACCCAACACUUCCCUCACAGUUAAAAUACGCGUGUAGUUGGUUCUCUGUUGAAAUUUGGCUAUUCAUCAUAUUCAGUUACCUCAUCACGGCAACUGAAAAAACUGGCGAUAAAAUUAAUUUUUGCCUCUCUAAAUCAGAUUUAUUAAUUAUUAACUUUCUGCUCAAGUUAAACUUUCACUUAACCCAGCUUAAAAUUGUUUUCAACUCUUCACGGCCCAUCAUUACCAUAAUUAUCAUUUUCAAGACAACCAAUAAAAUGAUAUUAAUGGGAAUGAAGGCUAAAUUGCCAAAUUUUAAUGUUGUUUCAUGUACACUUCCAUAUGUACAGACCUGUGGUUUAUGGUUGCGGUUAACCAUCAGGAAAAGUGAAUAUACUUUAAUCUAAUUACGAGAACAUAUUAAUUGAUAUUUUGCUUUAGCUAAUAAUAAACUGUAUCCAUGCCUCAACUCCAGUUGAAACAAAUUAAAUAUGCUAGCACACUAACGAUGCCUAUAAUACAUUUAUCCUGAUGAUUAUAACAAUGAUUAUGCUGAUUAUUAUGUUGAUGAUUGCGAGUAUGAUUAGGUUGAUGAUAAUUUAAAUGCCUUUGGGCCUGACAGCAAAAAAAAGUGACAAGUGAAAGAGUUGAAAAUCCGAUUCAGAGAUGAUUAUAGUUGGAAGAGGAAAUGAGUGUAUUGAGAUGUUGAUGAAGAGUGGUGACGAUAAAAGUGAAACUGGCGAUCAACUAAUAAAAAAUGACAAAAAAAAGAGAGAUGAUUAAUUCAAUCUGAUCGAUGACGGUGGUUAAUCAGUCGGUUAAAAUGAUGAAACCAGUUAGCAUGGGAAAUAAGAUUGAUUAGGAAUAGCAAGGCUUAACUCUUGUGUGAGUGUAACUAAUGGUAAGACAAACAACGUCUUGUCUUAUAAGGCUUAAUUCAGAGGUAAAUAUCAUCAUUAAUGCAAUAUUAUUAUCAUCUUUUUUUUACUUCUCUCCCUCCUUUCAUGAUCAUGUAAUAUUUAUCAGCCAUGUAAAAGCAGUCAAGACUUAUUUACCCAUAACAUAACAUUCAUUAAACUGCUUGUCUCUACUGUAACACCGGUUUGAUACUUUAAUUAAUCUUAUCUGUUUCAUUCAUCGUUGAUUUAAUCAGUGUUAAGAUAACCAUCCUAGAAAGACUGUUAUUAUUAUGUAUUUACCUACAUUAUGUUGUUGGCAAUCAAGUGAAAGUGGAUAAAUAUUACAUCUACAAUUCAAUAAAAAACAAAAUUGACCAAAUUUAAUGAGAAACUUGAGAUCUAUGAUUGGACUCAUUAAAAAGUACUCUAUGCUGUUUCAUACAAACAACUUAUCGGCUGUUCAAAUCAGGAUUGAAUUAAGUGUACAAUCCAUCAUUUUACCCGCAAGGUAUUAAUAAUAAUGCAAAAUAUUUUAUUGAAUAAGUAUUAAAAAAAAGGGAAAAAAUAAAAUUAAGCAAAAAAUUGAGGUAAAAAUUGAAAGGAGAGGCAACAAUAUUAACUUAUAUCUGUUUUGUGUUUCGCGCUUACAUUUUUGCUCAUAUUUUUCUGCUCAACCAGUUGCUUUCAAUUUGUCCCAAUUUUUAACCAAACUCUUUAAGUUCCUUCUUCAUCAACAUAAAAUUCAUCUUUAGCUUAAAUCAAUAGUGAUUGUAAUUAAUAAGAUAAUUCUAAUUAAUAUUUUCUUUAGUGAUUUAAUUAUAAAGUGUUAGUUAAAUUAGUUGAAAUGGACACCAGAAUAAGUGUAUUCACAGAGACUAAAGGAAAAAUUGGGAGAACUCUCAAGGUCAACCUCAGGUCAGUCAAGGUGCUUCAUAUUUUAGGUUUUGUUAAACCGGAACUAAGUAAAAGGGUCUUCUCUCUUUUGAUAUACUGUGAAAUACUUCCAAAAUUUAUUAAUAAAAGAUAAUCUUACUUAAGAAGAAAAUUCUGAAAAGAAUCAUUCAAAAAAAAGCAUAAAGCUCCAUAUGAUUAAAAAACUGGACAACACCAGUAAAUAAAUAGAAAUUAGUCUAAGAAAUUAGACUAUCUACUGAGAAAAGAUGACAACAAAGUUUAUAAAUCUAUCUGUGGAUGGAAUGAAAGAGGAAUGAAACAUGUAAUAACUGAAUAAGAGUUGGUGAGUGAGAUGAGAAAAGAUUUUCUUUCAGAGGAUGAAAUACUUCAGAUGUCAAAAGAAGGAAAGGAUUGGAACAUGGAUACUACGGAGGGAAAACAAUGGACAAUAUUAACAGAAUGGAUAAAUCUGGUGAUUGGAAGAAUUGAACAAGAGGAUAAAUCAUCACGGAAUUAAACCAAUCAAGAUGAAUGAGCCAAUCAUAAUUCUGGAAUCAAUUGCAAAACCUUAGAGAUAGUACACUAUGUGAUAAUAUUUGUAAUUGAAUAAUUUUCUUGUAAUUAUAACAUUAAUCUAUAAUUUGUACUGAAAUAAGGCCUGAGAAGCCAUGUGACCACACCAGGGGGCAGGACAGACUAUUAGUCUGUAAAACUGUUCAGUCAUUUGUAUUUGGCCUGCUUGUAUUUGAUACACUCUAUUAAAAUCUCAUCUUUAUCAUUAUUUUAAUCAUUUUGGUGAUUCUCAUUCUCGUUUUCAUCAUCUUCAUCAUUAAUGUUAUCUAAAUCAUAUUAAUAAUCAGUAUUUUGCUGAUGUUUCGUCAUCUUUCCAGGUCGUCCAAGCAAUCCUUGGUUAUAGUGCUGCCUGUUGCAUAAGGCCUAAGGGUCUAAUAAUAGACCGAAAGUAAGAGUUAUGCUAAAGUGAUAGGUUUACCAUCAAUUCUGGAAGCGCCUCAACCAUCAACCUCCAAGCAACACCACUUACAAUGAACUACCAGUCAUCUCGCAUGUCAUUAAUCUACGGAACAUGAAACACACAAGACAAUAAGUUGACUGUUGAUUUUCCCAACAGCGCAAAUCUUACGACUCUUUACUCUUGUUAAUAUGCAUCGCUUUGUUUUUCAACCAUCAAAAAGGUAAAAUAAUCAACCAUUUAACAUUUGAUUAUCAACCUCAACACCAUCUUAAUCAUCACCAUAAAAACAAUUAAUUUCAUUAUGAAUAAAUCUUGAAGAUAUUUUUAAUGAAACAACGUAACCUGUUGAUCAUGAAGGGAAUGAGUAAAAGCUAAAGCAUUCCAGUUAUUGAAUUAUCAAGUAAACUCGCUUGGAUAACGGAUAUUUUCACCAUCAUCUCAUUAUCAAUCACUGAUUAAAAAUAGUGGCCGCUUUGUUUUCCAGCUUCUACUCUCAUGAAUAAGAAACAACUAAAAAGCGGUUGAAAGAAAAUAUUAAAAGGCCAAAAUAUUGGGAGUGAGAUUUUAAUUCAUAUUCAUUGGCCUGUUAGGAAGAGCAUUAGCAUGCAACUCGUGAUUACAGGAACUGCUUUUUCCAUCUCUAUUCAUCUUCCAUGAUGUAAAAUGAAAGAGGAUAAAGGAAGAGAAGAAGAAAGAGAAGGAAAGAGAUAGAGAGAGAGGCCAGUUUAAGCUUGAUAAAUUGCUUAUUACGAACAAUCUUCAUUAUCAUUAUUCGCGUUUUUUUCUGCUUUCAUUUUUUCUGGAUAACAACUCUUAGUGAUUUACAGGUUGGGCCAUAGGAGAUGUGCUAGCUUCUUAUCACCUUACAAGGCAUCAUUUUUAUUACAUUAAAUUUAACUGUUUCAACAAUUUG